ensembl:lncRNA
CAGAAAAUGACUCUCAGGGGGUUAUCGAUGGAGGAGCUCCUUAAAAAGUUGAUGGAAGAAGGCAUUGAUGUAUCAGACGACGAGGCGCAAAGGUUUAGAGAUAACGAUGUAGAUGGAGAGACGGUAGACUGUGGACUCACUGAGACCAUGGUUGCAUAUCUUUUGACAAGUCUUUAAAGCAGCUGAAGUUCAGAGACUUCACAAACCGCUACAAGGAAGUCAUCAUCACUUUACAACCGGUCGACCCAUUUGAAGUUCUAUACCUUCUUGCCGUAGACUGCCUGCAGUUAUUUCCAUUCCAAAAUUCCCACAAGAUGUCCAGAGUCGCUUGGAUCUCAAAGAACCAGUCCAGAAAGAACAGAAGUACCGAAACAAAAUAAUUGGGACUCUUUAUGAAAUGCUGUCACAGUACACAAUGUACCCAACCCACUCAGACUACAUCCAGGUCAUCAAAGCCCUGAUUGUGAAGUAUCCUUUCUUAAGAGAUGUACACGGAAAUGGUUAUGACACCUGGCACAGCCAACUCAAGAGAAAGUUCAAAGCAGAACGGGCUCCCCUAAUCAGCAACGAAGAAGUGAACCGGGUUAAAGAAAAGUUUGGGCGCACGCAGAAACAUCGGACCACAGAGGAAUCCAGCAGCUCCUGUCUGAAGAGACUGAAGCCCUCUCUCGUAAAUCCUCACACCCUCAGCCUCUAAGAGCU